UGGUCAAGUUAUUAAGGGUGCAGGGCGGAUGCCUUGGCACUAGGAGCCGAUGAAGGACGUGAUAAGCUGCGAUAAGCUUCGGGGAGUUGCACGUAAACUUUGAUCCGAAGAUUUCCGAAUGAGGAAACUCACUUAGAGUAAUGUCUAAGUAUCAUUAAGUGAAUACAUAGCUUAAUGAGGGGAACUCAGGGAACUGAAACAUCUAAGUACCUGAAGGAAGAGAAAGAAAUUCGAUUCC
rnacentral:rRNA from 1 species